GCUUCACAACCUAGACUGGAGCAAGAUGUUUCAGAGUGGUGUACUUGUGGAAAUUGCUCGACAAUGUCCACUGAAGUUGAAAACAUCUGUUGCCAAGAAAUACAAAUGGUUGUUACACAAAUGCAACAGGUUCCUGUCCCACCUACCUGCAUGGUUUACCAUCCAGACCUAGAGCCAACCUGUUUGAACCACUACACCCUGCGGAACAUCUACACUAUAUACAGAGCAGACU